rnacentral:rRNA from 1 species
CAACGGAUAUCUCGGCUCUUGCAUCGAUGAAGAACGUAGCGAAAUGCGAUACUUGGUGUGAAUUGCAGAAUCCCGUGAACCAUCGAGUCUUUGAACGCAAGUUGCGCCCGAGGCCAUUAGGYCGAGGGCACGUCUGCCUGGGCGUCACAC